rnacentral:rRNA from 1 species
AGGGCACCACCAGGAGUGGAGCCUGCGGCUUAAUUUGACUCAACACGGGAAAACUUACCUGGUCAGGACACUGGAAGGAUUGACAGAUUGAGAGCCCUUUCUUGAUUCAGUGGGUGGUGGUGCAUGGCCGUUCUUAGUCGGUGGAGCGAUUUGUCUGGUUAAUUCCGAUAACGAACGAGACUCUAGCCUACUAAAUAGACUGCUCAACUUUAUAGCUGCAUCACCUUGCAGUGGCUUCGGUUGCUGUAAGGCUGUGGUGACGUUGGCAGUGCUUCUUAGAGGGACAGGCGGCGGUUCAGCCGCACGAAACAGAGCAAUAACAGGUCUGUGAUGCCCUUAGAUGUCCAGGGCCGCACGCGCGCUACACUGAAGUGAUCAGCGUGCAAUUAACGUUUCCUACUCCGUCAGGAGUGGGUAACCCGUUGAACCUUCUUCGUGAUUGGGAUAGGGGAUUGUAAUUAUUCCCCUUGAACGAGGAAUUCCCAGUAAGCGCAAGUCAUAAGCUUGCGUUGAUUACGU